AAAUUUAAAAUAGCACCAAGUGCUGGUUUUCCAGAUGUUUUCAGCUUGUGAAAAUACAUUGAGCUGUGUGUAUGCUCAUUUGCUUAUGAAUACUAUACUUAAUAAUCAGCUGGGGAGCUUGUGAGCAGUGCAGAUUCCUAGACCCCACUCAGGAGAUUCUGACAUGGUAAGUCUGAGAUGAGGUCCAUGUUUAACAUUUUGAACAAGCACCCCAGCUGAUUCUGACACAGGAGGUUCUGAUCACGUUUUAAGAAACUCUGUCCUUGUUCUUGGGGGAAGGAAGGAAACAGGGCUGGCAGCUCCAACUCUGAGCUGGUACUAAGAAGAGUUUUGGUUUCUGACCCCUUUGUCUCCAGAUUGCAGGAUACCUAUAUGGGGUGAGCCCACCAGAUAACCCCCAGGUGAAGGAGAUCCGCUGCAUUGUGAUGGUGCCGCAGUGGGGCACUCACCAGACCGUGCACCUGCCUGGCCAGCUGCCCCAGCAUGAGUACCUCAAGGAGAUGGAACCCUUAGGUUGGAUCCACACUCAGCCCAAUGAGUCCCCGCAGCUGUCACCCCAGGAUGUCACCACCCACGCCAAGAUCAUGGCUGACAACCCAUCUUGGGAUGGCGAGAAGACCAUUAUCAUCACAUGCAGCUUCACACCAGGCUCCUGCACACUGACGGCCUACAAGCUGACCCCCAGUGGCUAUGAAUGGGGCCGCCAGAACACAGACAAGGGCAACAACCCCAAGGGCUACCUGCCUUCACACUACGAGAGGGUGCAGAUGCUGCUGUCGGACCGCUUCCUUGGCUUCUUCAUGGUCCCUGCCCAGUCCUCGUGGAACUACAACUUUAUGGGUGUUCGGCAUGACCCCAACAUGAAAUAUGAGCUGCAGCUGGCGAACCCCAAAGAGUUCUACCACGAGGUGCACAGGCCCUCCCACUUCCUCAACUUUGCUCUCCUGCAGGAGGGGG
rnacentral:sRNA from 1 species